rnacentral:rRNA from 1 species
UUUUGUGCCACAUGGCAUGAAAGUAAAAGUUGGGUUUUACCUAACACUACAGGAUGGGCCCGCGGCGCAUUAGCUAGUUGGUAAGGUAAUGGCUUACCAAGGCGACGAUGCGUAGCCGACCUGAGAGGGUGAUCGGCCACACUGGGACUGAGACACGGCCCAGACUCCUACGGGAGGCAGCAGUAGGGAAUCUUCCGCAAUGGACGAAAGUCUGACGGAGCAACGCCGCGUGAACGAUGAAGGCCUUCGGGUCGUAAAGUUCUGUUGUUAGGGAAGAACAAGUACCGUUCAAAUAGGGCGGUACCU